GGAUAGCGGAGAAAUUCCAAUCGAACUCGGAGAUAGCUGGUUCUCCCCGAAAUAGGUUUAGGCCUAGCCUUGAAGAAUUUCCUCUGGAGGUAGAGCACUGAAUGUGGAAUGGCCGCGUCUAGCGGUACUGACUGCAAUCAACCUCCGAAUGCCAGAGUAGUUAGCUUCAGGAGUCAGUUUAUGGGUGAUAACGUCCAUAUGCGAGAGAAAAACAAUUCAGACCACCAGUUAAGGUCCCAAAAUAUAUGUUAAGUGGGAAAGGAUGUGGAGUUGCACGAACAGCUAGGAGGUUGGCUCAGAAGCAGCCAUCCUUUAAAGAGUGCGUAAUAGCUCACUAGUCGAGUGGCUCUGCGCCGAAAAUGUACCGGGGCUAAACAUAUUACCGAAACUGUGGAUUUAUGCGAUAGCAUAAGUGGUAGGGGAGCGUUCUAAGGGCGAUGAAGAUAGAUCGAGAGGACUAUUGGAGCGCUUAGAAGUGAGAAUGCCGGUGUGAGUAACGUAAGGUAGGUGAGAAUCCUACCCACUGAUUGACCAAGGAUUCCAGGGUCAAGUUCGUCUACCCUGGGUAAGUCAGGACCUAAGGCGAGGCUGAGAAGCGUAGUCGAUGGACAACAGGUUGAUAUUCCUGUACCACCGAAAGUCGUUUGAGCGAAGUGGGGACACAGAAGGAUAGACUGAGCACGCCGCUGGUAGAGCGUGUCCAAGCGUCAAGGGAGAUAACGUAGGCAAAUCCGCGAUAUCAAUUCUGAGGCGUUACGGGGAGGCAAAAGAGCCGGAAGCAGUUGAUUUCACGCUGUCAAGAAAAGCCGCUAGCGAGACCCAAGGUGCCCGUACCGCAAACCGACACAGGUAGAUGAGGAGAGAAUCCUAAGGUGAGCGAGAGAACUAUUGUUAAGGAACUCGGCAAAAUAACCCCGUAACUUCGGGAGAAGGGGUGCCUGCUUCGGCAGGCCGCAGUGAAAAGGCCCAGGCAACUGUUUACCAAAAACACAGGUCUCUGCAAAAGCGAAAGCUGAAGUAUAGGGGCUGACGCCUGCCCGGUGCUGGAAGGUUAAGGGGAAGUGUCAUCGCAAGAGAAGCACAGAACUUAAGCCCCAGUAAACGGCGGCCGUAACUAUAACGGUCCUAAGGUAGCGAAAUUCCUUGUCGGGUAAGUUCCGACCCGCACGAAAGGCGUAAUGAUCUGGACACUGUCUCAACAAUAGGCUCGGUGAAAUUGUAGUACCGGUAAAGAUGCCGGUUACCCGCAGCAGGACGGAAAGACCCCGUGGAGCUUUACUGUAGCUUGAUAUUGAGUUUCGGCGUUGCAUGUACAGGAUAGGUGGGAGACAGAGAAAUUAGUACGCCAGUAUUAGUGGAGUCACCGUUGGGAUACCACCCUUGUAACGUUGAAGUUCUAACCAUGUGCCGUGAUCCGGCACUGGGACAGUGUCAGGCGGGCAGUUUGACUGGGGCGGUCGCCUCCUAAAGAGUAACGGAGGCGCCCAAAGGUUCCCUCAGCGCGGACGGAAAUCGCGCGAAGAGUGCAAAGGCAGAAGGGAGCUUGACUGCGAGACCCACAAGUCGAGCAGGGACGAAAGUCGGGCUUAGUGAUCCGGCGGUGCUGAAUGGAAAGGCCGUCGCUCAACGGAUAAAAGCUACCCUGGGGAUAACAGGCUGAUCUCCCCCAA
rnacentral:rRNA from 1 species